AUUGAACGCUGGCGGCAGGCUUAACACAUGCAAGUCGAGCGAGCGGCGGACGGGUGAGUAACGUCUGGGAAACAGCCUGAAGGAGGGGGAUAACUACUGGAAACGGUAGCUAAUACCGCAUACCAUCAGAUGUGCCCAGAUGGGAUUAGCUAGUAGGUGGGGUAAUGGCUCACCUAGUCGACGAUCCCUAGCUGGUCUGAGAGGAUGACCAGCCACACUGGAACUGAGACACGGUCCAGACUCCUACGGGAGGCAGCAGUGGGGAAUCUUGCACAAUGGGCGCAAGCCUGAUGCAGCCAUGCCGCGUGUGUGAAGAAGGUCUUCGGGUUGUAAAGCACUUUUAGCGAGGAGGCGUUACUCGCAGAAGAAGCACCGGCUAACUCCGUGCCAGCCGCCGCGGUAAUUC
rnacentral:rRNA from 1 species